UACGUAGGGUGCAAGCGUUGUCCGGAAUUAUUGGGCGUAAAGAGCUCGUAGGCGGUCUGUUGCGUCGGCUGUGAAAACCCGGGGCUCAACUCCGGGCCUGCAGCCGAUACGGGCAGACUAGAGUUCGGCAGGGGAGACUGGAAUUCCUGGUGUAGCGGUGAAAUGCGUAGAUAUCUGGAGGAAUACCGGUGGCGAAGGCGGCAUCCUGGACCGAGAUUGACGCUGAGGAGCGAAAGCUAGGGGAGCAAACGGG
rnacentral:rRNA from 1 species